GUCUUGUUAUACCUCAAUAGCUUACAAUCUUUCAUCAAGCAGUAUAUAUGCAUUGACUCAUUUGAUAUAAAGCUCAUGAUGUCUUUAUCUCUAUUAUGAUUCUUUAUUUACAAUCAAUUCAAAAAUGCACUAGAGAUCUGUAGAUUUGACUAGCUACGUUUACUAGUACAACAUUCAUCAUUUGCGUGUUAGUCGCGUCAUAUUUUUCUAUCGUAACUUCCUCCUAGUGAUUCAAAAUAUGACGUGGCUGCAUGCCUGCAUGCAAAUUAUGCAUUUUGUACUUGUAAUGAAUUUACUCUCUAAUGUAGUCAAGAAGGAAACUUAUUUCGAUAAUCACUUAUGUGGGUUUCUUUCAAUCAUUUCUUUCUUUGAUAAGAUCAUUUAGGGAAAUACGAUUGACCUUUCAGUAUAAAAACGACGCCAUCUUUAGUCGCAACGCCUUCGAUAAAAUUGCAGUCCUAAACUAAUUACCGUUUAUAGCUAACAUUUGGAAUAUUUGUGAGGUUUUUGACAAAAGAUAUAGUUCGAUCGUCUUUAUAAUGCCAACUUACUUGAUUUUCAACAACAUUGAAAACCUAUAGUUAAGGCAGGUUUACACAAUAUCUACACAAUAUACAAGUUUUACACUGCAUAGAGUCUGUUAAUAUGAACCAGUGAUAUGAGCCUGCAUAUACCUAUAGACGUCUUGAAUGCAUUCGACAGCAAUUACUAUAAUUAGCACUUGCAAACACAUAUAUGCUUCAUUUAGUUUUCAAAAAUUUGUUUUCUUCUUGCUUUCGCUAAAAACUCAUUUCUUUAACAUGUACAAGGUAUUUGAUAUUAUACUUGUUCACAAAACCAAUACAAAACAACGAAAAAUGUCAAAUAAAACGGCCUAAUCUGCCGACUUUCUCACCAUUUUGUCAUGGCAAGAAAGCUGGGAAAUUUUCAUUUUGCUUGUCUAUGGUUUCAGCAAACUCUGCAGACAUCUCAAGAACCGGAGAAGCUGAAUUCAUCUGUCAAAAAUAAUUUGUGCAAUUACUACGAAAAGACAAAAGGACAUCAUAGGUAUAAGUGGAAUGGCUCGAUAAGUGCCGGUUCACUUGAACAGGCCCAAAAUCUCUAUUUACAAAAUAUUGUUUCGUCAAAUUGUAUAAAAUAUAAAUCUUUUUAUUUAUUUAUUUUUUUUAAAUUAAAUUAAAUUAAAUUUUAUUUAUCUUUCUCAAACAGUUUCCUCUUCAUAGUAUUAUUUAAAUGUUAAUAUAUUUUUUAAACUGCCAUUACAGUAGAUAUUCUGUACGAAGAAAAAUCGAAAUUGUAAACCAGCCUUAAAGUUCAGUUAUUUAAAGGUUAGGAAAUUUCAGACUAACUUGAUGGAUUGCUUUCUUAAGAUGGCGUCGAUUUUGGCUAGAAUUGGAUACUCACAAGAAAGUUCAAUUUCAUUAGUGACCUCCAUGAGUGCAAUAUGGUAUUUGAGACACCUAGAGAACUGACUUCCGCAAACUUGAUGACAAAGCGACAGUCAAUAGUAAUCAGAGCCAUAACUUUUUGUAGUGAAUAUAAAUCAGCAUUGUUAAUUUGAAAUUGUUAAUUGAAAGCUCUACUCUAGUAGAAAAAGAAAACUUCAUUAAAACUAUCUUUAUAUAGAGUGUCACCAUUCUUUUAUGAGCAUUUUUAUCAAGGCUCUGUUUACAUGUACGCCCAUCACAAGAAACCAAAAAUCAUUUCGUAACUUUCGCAAACAUUAAUUAUCAAAUCAAACUCAUUCAACAUCUCAUCCCGUUUGUCAAAGCCGGAACUCGAAAAGUGACCAAGUUAAAAUAAACCGAUUGAAUAAACCGCGUUGACUUUUAUUAAUGAUGUCUCGGACAUUAAUUGUUAACAGACAAAAUAUGCGUGGAAAAUUAAAGUCAUGUUAAAUUUUGUGAAUGAUUUGAGUUGAGGAAUUACACGAGACUAAAAAAGAGAAACUGUUAUUUCUACUACUCUUUGGUUACAUCAGGUAGAUAAUUUUCAAUAUUAUGAAGUUUAAAAAAAUUGAUAUCUGUUGUCCCACCUUUUAGGAAGCAUGCCUCGUGAAGCGAUGUAAAAGGAAAAUCCGUUCUGGAAACCAAGACUUUUUGAACGCUGUCUGGUUUAUAAAAUAUUUAUUGAUAAAUAUAUAUUAUUUUUCUUAUUUAUCCAUAAUUCAGUUCAAUCGGUUGACAUUAGAACGAAGUUUCGUUUGGCAUAAUUAUUAUUCAAAAAGAAAAUUGGUCAACCUCCUAUCUCUUUUCGACUCGCACAACACGUAAACAGG
rnacentral:lncRNA from 1 species